rnacentral:sRNA from 1 species
GCUGGGCACAGUGGUGCAUGCCUGUAAUCCCAGCGGCUCAGGAAGCUGAGAUAGGAGAAUCGCAAGUUCAAAGCCAGCCUCAGCAACAGCGAGGUGCAAAGCAACUUAGUGAGACCCUGUUUCUA